UGGGUGUGGCUCAGUGGUAGAGUGCUUGCCUGGCAAGUGUAAGGCCCUGAGUUCAAUCCCCAGCACCCCAA
rnacentral:tRNA from 1 species